rnacentral:rRNA from 1 species
GACUCCGUGAAGCUGGAUUCGCUAGUAAUCGCGCAUCAGCCAUGGCGCGGUGAAUACGUUCCCGGGCCUUGUACACACCGCCCGUCAAGCCAUGGAAGCCGGGGGCGCUUGAAGUGCGUUGCCGCAAGGCGCGCCCUAGAGCGAAACCGGUGACUGGGGCUAAGUCGUAACAAGGUACC